UCUCUUAUAGCUCAGUUGGUAAAGAACCUACCUACAAGGCAGGAGACCCAGGUUUGAUUCCUGGUUUGGGAA
rnacentral:tRNA from 1 species